UACGUAGGGUGCAAGCGGUAAUCGGAAUUACUGGGCGUAAAGCGUGCGCAGGCGGGUUUGUAAGUCUGUCGUGAAAUCCCCGGGCUCAACCUGGGAAUUGCGAUGGAGACUGCAAGGCUAGAAUCUGGCAGAGGGGGGUAGAAUUCCACGUGUAGCAGUGAAAUGCGUAGAGAUGUGGAGGAACACCGAUGGCGAAGGCAGCCCCCUGGGUCAAGAUUGACGCUCAUGCACGAAAGCGUGGGGAGCAAACAGG
rnacentral:rRNA from 1 species